GACGAACGCUGGCGGCGUGCCUAAUACAUGCAAGUCGAACGCUGAGGAGAGGAGCUUGCUCUUCUUGGAUGAGUUGCGAACGGGUGAGUAACGCGUAGGUAACCUGCCUUGUAGCGGGGGAUAACUAUUGGAAACGAUAGCUAAUACCGCAUAACAAUGGAUGACACAUGUUAUAUAUUUGAAAGGGGCAAUUGCUCCAAUACAAGAAGGACCCGCCUUGUAUUAGCUAGUAGGUGAGGUAAUGGCUUACCUAGGCGACCAUACAUAGGCGACCUUGAAGGGGUGUCGGGCCCACCUGGACUUGGAAACGGCCCAAACUCCUACGGGGAGCAGCAGGAAGGGAACUUCGCGAAAUGGGGGAACGCUUACCGGGCAACGCCGCGGGGGGUAAGGAAGUUUUCGGGUCGUAAAGCUCUGUUGUAAGUCGAAGACGAGUGGUGUAAUGAAAUGUGCACGCUUUGACGGUAGCUUAUCAGAAAGCGACGGCUAACUACGUG
rnacentral:rRNA from 1 species